rnacentral:rRNA from 1 species
UACGGAGGGUGCAAGCGUUAUCCGGAUUCACUGGGUUUAAAGGGUGCGUAGGUGGGCUUGUAAGUCAGUGGUGAAAUCUCCGGGCUUAACUCGGAAACUGCCAUUGAUACUAUAGGUCUUGAAUUAUCUGGAGGUCAGCGGAAUAUGUCAUGUAGCGGUGAAAUGCUUAGAUAUCAGGAGGAACACCGGCGGUGUAGACGGCUUACUAGACCAUAACUGACGCUGAGGCACGAAAGCGUGGGUAGCAAACAGG